rnacentral:rRNA from 1 species
GCGAGUUUGAUCCUGGCUCAGGACGAACGCUGGCGGCGUGCUUAACACAUGCAAGUCGAACGGUGACAGGGGGAGCUUGCUCCCCCUUGAUCAGUGGCGAACGGGUGAGUAACACGUGAGUAACCUGCCCCUGGCUCUGGGAUAACCCCGGGAAACCGAGGCUAAUACCGGAUACGACACAGACAGGCAUCUGUACUGUGUGGAAAGUUUUUCGGCUAGGGAUGGACUCGCGGCCUAUCAGCUAGUUGGUGAGGUAACGGCCCACCAAGGCAACGACGGGUAGCCGGCCUGAGAGGGCGACCGGCCACACUGGGACUGAGACACGGCCCAGACUCCUACGGGAGGCAGCAGUGGGGAAUAUUGCGCAAUGGGCGAAAGCCUGACGCAGCGACGCCGCGUGAGGGAUGAAGGCCUUUGGGUUGUAAACCUCUUUCAGCAGGGAAGAAGCGCAAGUGACGGUACCUGCAGAAGAAGCACCGGCUAACUACGUGCCAGCAGCCGCGGUAAUAA